CUAACACACGACGUAACAGUUACUUAACGUACUGGUAAUUUUUGGUAAUUCCAUGACUUACCAAUUGACAACGUAACUACGACGUCGCAUGCCCGUAAUUUUAUUACCAUCACAUUACCAACUCACAACGUCGUCAGUACGUCCUUCCAACGUGACCAGAUAACCAAGAACGUCCCAGAUAGGUCCUCUAUUGGUAAUAUAUUGGUAACUUCAUGACUUACUGGCAACGUAACUACAACGUCGUAUGCACGUAAUAUCAUUACCAUAUAUUUUUUUACGUUCUUUAUAUGCUCUCUGAGUAUAGAGCCAUUUAAAAAGUGUAAUUAAACUUCAGACUCAAGAUUAAACGUUCCUUAAAGAUAAAAUAUGUUUCUUUUCACCAAGUCAGAAUAUGGACAUGCUUUUAAUAUAUAGUGACGUGACAUACAGGCGCGCGCUUCCACAACUGACGCACCGCGCGCACAGUAUUGACAAGAAAAGAGUUGUGAAACUUUCUAUCUCGUAAGGAGUUAUGAACGUGAAAUAGUGACACAGACUGGCUACACCAUCUCAUCUGCAGCAGAGAUUGUUAUGUAUGUUGUAUCAGAAGGACAGCGCGUUUGUUUGACGCACUUUUCACUUCAACUGUGUCUGACAGGAGAAUUAGCUUUCUGAACCUUCUAGCCGUUGAGUUACCAUGGCAACCGCGUAUACAUCAGCUGCUGGAGAGGAGAGGACUCGUCUGACAUUUUCUCUGUUUCUCGUCAGUUAUACCAAAGAAAAGGCCAACAACUGCGACAGAUUUGUUAAGUAACACGUUAAUAUCAUCCACAGUCUACUUUAAGUACUUUUUGUUAAUAUUUAUACCUCUGUGAUUAUGGUAUUUUUCCUGAAAUGUCUGCUAUCAAGUAUUACGCUAGCAUAGAAACAUAAUUAACGUUAUAGCAUAUUAGAUUUGAGCCCUUAUUAAUGAAAGUUUGGCCUUUUAAUUACAUCUUAUGCGUAAAGGAUCGGUUUUGAUCGUUUUGUAAAUGUUUUUGAUGGUAAUUUGUCAAUAGAUAAAUGAAGUAAAGUUAAGCUAAUUAAUUUAACCUAAAAAUCUGCACUGUAGAGUCUAUCAGUGACGUCACUUGCGGUCUAAAAUGGGCUGAAACUAUUUCAAACCACUGUUUCAAGCUUGUUCUGAUUUAUCAUUGUAAACAAAUAUUGAUAAAAAAAAUUGUACAGUGAUUUCAGGAGUGUCUUAAAAACCCUCUAAAACAGAGGGGCAGUUCCAAGAAAAUGUCUAACGGGAGCUGCUGACAGAGAUAGAAAACACAGGUGAUGCUACAAAGCUUAUUAAAUAACUUCAUAUUUAUUUUUUACAAUAUAUCAUCAUGCAUCUGUAAAAUCUAAACAUGUGAAUUCUGGUAUCUAAAGAUGUUUGUAUGUUUUCCAUAUUGCUAUUUUUCUUUUCUGCAUUUCCCCUAUUCUCUAGUUUGUUUAUUUCUAAUAAGGAGCUGGAGGCCGUGAAGAUACAGAUCCAUGAUAUUGUGGAGAAGCAGGCCCAGCUGAGCGAGUGGAGAGCUGUGCUGGAAAUAUUCAGGGGUUGAUGCUCAUAAGUCCAGGUGUAAGACAUGAUCCAGGCCCUGGGCGACGACCUCUCUCCAUCCGCCGCCUCCGGUCUUCAGGAUCUCCACCAGAACCCGAUUCGCUCCACUUCGCGAGACAGAACAAAACGCUGUGAUCAUCAGAGACUCCAUCGUCCGGCACGUUUGCGCUAUGUUAGCUGAAGGUAAAGUCCACACUGACUACUUCCCUGGUGCUCAUGUUCUUGAUAU